rnacentral:rRNA from 1 species
CAGGUAGUUGGCGGGGUAACGGCCCACCAAGCCUGCGAUCAGUAACUGGUGUGAGAGCACGACCAGUCACACGGGCACUGAGACACGGGCCCGACUCCUACGGGAGGCAGCAGUAAGGAAUAUUGGUCAAUGGACGCAAGUCUGAACCAGCUAUGCCGCGUGAAGGAUGACGGCCCUCUGGGUUGUAAACUUCUUUUAUCUGGGACGAAAAAAGCUCUUUCUAGAGCACUUGACGGUACCAGAGGAAUAAGCACCGGCUAACUCCGUGCCAGCAGCCGCGGUAAUACGGAGGGUGCAAGCGUUAUCCGGAUUUACUGGGUUUAAAGGGUGCGUAGGUGGGCAGGUAAGUCAGUGGUGAAAUCUCCGAGCUUAACUCGGAAACUGCCAUUGAUACUAUCUGUCUUGAAUUAUCUGGAGGUGAGCGGAAUAUGUCAUGUAGCGGUGAAAUGCUUAGAUAUGACAUAGAACACCAAUUGCGAAGGCAGCUCACUACGGAUAUAUUGACACUGAGGCACGAAAGCGUGGGGAUCAAACAGGAUUAGAUACCCUGGUAGUCCACGCCCUAAACGAUGGAUACUCGACAUCAGCGAUACACUGUUGGUGUCUGAGCGAAAGCAUUAAGUAUCCCACCUGGGAAGUACGAUCGCAAGAUUGAAACUCAAAGGAAUUGACGGAA